UGAGGAAUAUUGCACAAUGGAGGAAACUCUGAUGCAGCCAUGCCGCGUGAGUGAUGAAGGCCCUAGGGUUGUAAAACUCUUUCGCGAGGGAAGAUAAUGACGGUACCUCGAUAAGAAGCCCCGGCUAACUUCGUGCCAGCAGCCGCGGUAAUACGAAGGGGGCAAGCGUUGUUCGGAAUUACUGGGCGUAAAGCGCGCGUAGGUGGAUUGGAAAGUUAGAUGUGAAAGCCCAGGGCUCAACCUUGGAACUGCAUUUAAAACUAUCAAUCUAGAGUCAGCUAGGGGACAGUGGAAUUCCAUGUGUAGCGGUGAAAUGCGUAGAUAUAUGGAGGAACACCAGAGGCGAAGGCGACUGUCUGGGGCUGUACUGACACUGAGGUGCGAAAGCGUGGGGAGCAAACAGGAUUAGAUACCCGCGUAGUCC
rnacentral:rRNA from 1 species